rnacentral:lncRNA from 1 species
AGGAUCCAUUGUGUUGAUCUUGAAGCCCCAUUUGUUCUUCUAAAAUGAUUGAAGCUGAGAUCCCCACCUAGUGGAUUUAGAGGAUUUUACAGGUUUUACAGAACAAGCCUACUACCCCUGGAAAUCCUUAAUUUUUUUCUCUUAUUGAAAUAACAGGUUUUAAAAACUCUACUUAAGAUCUAGGAUAAUUGUCAACAGAACAGUUGCAAAUGGUUGAAAUAUACCAAUAUGCAUAUCAACUAGACUACAGUUAACAAACAAAGCUCAAUUUUUAUUUUCAUACCAUAAUUAGGAAAACAGAUCAGGCACAAAUAUGAAUAUAUAAUCAUCUGUGUAGAAAGCAAUAUUGUAAUACCACUAAUUGAGAUGUGUACAGUAAUUUCCAUAAAAUAAACAUCAAGUGUAAACUGUUCAA